GCCCUCGUAGCUCAGUUGGAUAGAGCGCGACGUUGCGGACGUCGAGGUCGAAGGUUCGAAUCCUUUCGAGGGUG
rnacentral:tRNA from 1 species